AAGUUUGUGCCAUAAUACCUCACAAAGGCAUGUAUCACGAUGAACAAUUGGUCUUUAGUUUGUAACCCUGUGCCCAUUCCUGGAGCAUGGAUUUGGCUGGGAGAAGGCAUUCACUAGCUUUAAUAUCUCCAAGAAGCUUUAUAUUAUAGGAAGGUCAGGUACUCACCAGACUCAUCCAACCCUUCUCAGAUUCAGAGUCUCUCCUCUUCUCUCAGGUUGGCUAAUGAUUAUUCGAGUCAUAUUAAGGGAUAGUAAGAUCUUGGUCUUUCCCAGUAGGGAAGCUCUUUCACACAGGACAGAGCCUUGGGUAAGGUUUGUGCUUCAACACUCAAUGAGGGUAAGUCCUUCCGUUUUAUUUGCCUUCGUAGACCAGGCUCUUGUACAAAUAGGAAAAUCACUCACUGGACAGUCUUCAGGAGUGUGAGAAGCAUAGCAAAAAAGAGGGAAGAAAAAAGAAAGAAAAAAGGAAGAAAGAAAAAAUAAUGAUUUUAAAGAAUUUUCAGCAAAGAAUGAUAUUCAAGGUCUGGGAGCCACAAUAGUCUAAAGAUAAAAGAAGAGAAAAAUGCUCUGGGCUUCUGACAUGUGACAUCCUGCACAGUCCCGGGGCAGAGAGCCAAGCCUCUGCUGUUUUGCUGCCAGAGAGUUUAAUAGAAAGACCUGCUCUUUGAUCACUGUGUGGGAUUCUGUAACUGAGGAAGAGCCCUGGCCCCUCUCCUAGCACCACCAGAGCCUCUGUAAAACUCUUCUGUGGCUUCCACCAGGUGGCAGCAGGAAAUAAAGUUUGCACAAAAAUUGG